rnacentral:rRNA from 1 species
AUUGAACGCUGGCGGCAUGCUUUACACAUGCAAGUCGAACGGUAACAGCACUUCGGUGGCUGACGAGUGGCGAACGGGUGAGUAAUACAUCGGAACGUGCCUAGUAGUGGGGGAUAACUACUCGAAAGAGUAGCUAAUACCGCAUGAGAUCUAAGGAUGAAAGCAGGGGACCUUCGGGCCUUGCGCUACUAGAGCGGCUGAUGGCAGAUUAGGUAGUUGGUGGGAUAAAAGCUUACCAAGCCGACGAUCUGUAGCUGGUCUGAGAGGACGACCAGCCACACUGGGACUGAGACACGGCCCAGACUCCUACGGGAGGCAGCAGUGGGGAAUUUUGGACAAUGGGCGCAAGCCUGAUCCAGCAAUGCCGCGUGCAGGAUGAAGGCCUUCGGGUUGUAAACUGCUUCUGUACGGAACGAAAAGCCCUCUUCUAAUACAGGAGGGUCAUGACGGUACCGGAAGAAUAAGCACCGGCUAACUACGUG